GUUGCUAUACUGCAAGUUGAGCGCUGAAGGUUGGUACUUGUACCGACUGGAUGAGCAGCGAACGGGUGAGUAACGCGUGGGGAAUCUGCCUUUGAGCGGGGGACAACAUUUGGAAACGAAUGCUAAUACCGCAUAACAACUUUAAACACAAGUUUUAAGUUUGAAAGAUGCAAUUGCAUCACUCAAAGAUGAUCCCGCGUUGUAUUAGCUAGUUGGUGAGGUAAAGGCUCACCAAGGCGAUGAUACAUAGCCGACCUGAGAGGGUGAUCGGCCACAUUGGGACUGAGACACGGCCCAAACUCCUACGGGAGGCAGCAGUAGGGAAUCUUCGGCAAUGGACGAAAGUCUGACCGAGCAACGCCGCGUGAGUGAAGAAGGUUUUCGGAUCGUAAAACUCUGUUGGUAGAGAAGAACGUUGGUGAGAGUGGAAAGCUCAUCAAGUGACGGUAACUACCCAGAAAGGGACGGCUAACUACGUGCCAGCAGCCGCGGUAAUACGUAGGUCCCGAGCGUUGUCCGGAUUUAUUGGGCGUAAAGCGAGCGCAGGUGGUUUAUUAAGUCUGGUGUAAAAGGCAGUGGCUCAACCAUUGUAUGCAUUGGAAACUGGUAGACUUGAGUGCAGGAGAGGAGAGUGGAAUUCCAUGUGUAGCGGUGAAAUGCGUAGAUAUAUGGAGGAACACCGGUGGCGAAAGCGGCUCUCUGGCCUGUAACUGACACUGAGGCUCGAAAGCGUGGGGAGCAAACAGGAUUAGAUACCCUGGUAGUCCACGCCGUAAACGAUGAGUGCUAGAUGUAGGG
rnacentral:rRNA from 1 species